UACAGAGGGUGCAAGCGUUAAUCGGAAUUACUGGGCGUAAAGAGCUCGUAGGUGGUUUGUCGCGUUGUUCGUGAAAACUCACAGCUUAACUGUGGGCGUGCGGGCGAUACGGGCAGACUUGAGUACUGCAGGGGAGACUGGAAUUCCUGGUGUAGCGGUGGAAUGCGCAGAUAUCAGGAGGAACACCGGUGGCGAAGGCGGGUCUCUGGGCAGUAACUGACGCUGAGGAGCGAAAGCGUGGGGAGCGAACAGG
rnacentral:rRNA from 1 species